GGAUCAUUGUUUUUAACAAUGCUUCAUAGAGUUUCUCAAAGAAUAUUAUAACAAAACCCCUUUUGAAUAAAGGCAUUUCUCUAAUCUGACUUACAAAUCAAUCCCAAUCAAUUAUGUUAAAUAAAUUACAAAUAUGCCUUUAAUAUUCCUUUCAACAUUAGAUACAUAUACUCCUUGAUCGUGUUGUGUCCCGAUCUUCAAAACCUUUCAAAAAUGAUCUGAUUCCAAGAUGCUCGGAAGCAUAUGUCAUGAAAGAUGCCAAAACAAUGCCUCCAGCGACCACCAAGCCUAACCUCAUAAACAGGGCAGUAAUCCCGAAGAUACAAGGUAGAGCUGGGGCAGCUAUAGCCAAAAAUGCCAUUCCUAACCCGUAAUACCAAAUAGCAAAAUCGCAAGAUGAUACUUGCCGCAGAUGGCCUUUCCCAGAAUCAUCAUCAAGAGCUUCAGGAUGAGAGGCAACAGAUACUUGAGUGGCUGUCAUCUUUCCCCAAAGAUAGGUCAAAUGGAGAAAACCUCCAAAUAAAAGGAAGAAUAUUGUGAAUGUCCACUCAUACAUUAAGAGCAAACCAGUCCAAGGCAUCACUUGUCGAGGCACUAUUGCAAGACUACAUGCAAGGGAGACCAAAGCAGCCAUAAAACAAACGAAGAUGGAAAGUCCACCCAAAUAGCCAGGCACCUGUAAAUGAUUCGCUGAAUUGAAUGUAGAUGAUGAAGAAACACCAGCAUAUCCAUUAGAUCUAAUUCUGUAGUAGAGGUGUCUCAUAUGAUCACAUAAUGAACUUCUGCAAAAUGCCCGUGUCUGAAGAAAUGAUCGAUAGCAACUGAAGAAUACAGCACAUAAUGGCAACAUAAAAAGAAACUUGACAAGCAGUUCAUCAUUAGGAUUUCUGCCACCUCCAGUCCCAGGAAGAGAUUCAUCAAGUUGUUCCCUUGCAGCCUGCCAGACAUCAACAGGUUUCAAAAGCCAAGAUGUCCACCAGUCCCAAGGUUUAAGGGGGCCAAGAGUAUAGUGAAUAACAUGAAGUUCAGACUCAUUAACCAUCCACUUGUUAGCAAGCAUGUAGAGACCAACAUCUGCAUUAUAUAGAGUGGAGAGUCGCUCCAUAGCAGGUACAGGUCUAGAAUUCAAGACUUCCUGGGGUAAAUUAGGCUGGAAAACAUG
rnacentral:misc_RNA from 1 species